rnacentral:rRNA from 1 species
CCUAUAUAUCUUAAUGGCGGCWUUUCAUCUUAUUARAGGAAUAUGUCUAUUAAUCGACUGUACACGUUAAAUUUUACUUAUAACAAAAUCUUAUAUACCUCCGUCUAAAGAAUUAAUUAUAAAAUACAAUUCCAAAUAAUAAUUCUAAUAUGUCAGGUAARGGUGUARACAAUUUAUAAGACAUAGAUGUAUUACUUUAARAAUAACUUUAAGGAAAAAAUARAAAACUAUUUUCGUAAAAAGGAUUUAAACGUAAUAAACCAAUACUAUUUCUUUAUGUAAAAGAAAAUAAAUGUGC